rnacentral:rRNA from 1 species
CCUACGGGUGGCAGCAGUGAGGAAUAUUGGUCAAUGGACGCAAGUCUGAACCAGCCAUGUCGCGUGCAGGAAGACGGCCCUAUGAGUUGUAAACCGCUUUUGUACGAGGGUAAACGCAGAUACGCGUAUCUGUUUGAAAGUAUCGUACGAAUAAGGAUCGGCUAACUCCGUGCCAGCAGCCGCGGUAAUACGGAGGAUUCAAGCGUUAUCCGGAUUUAUUGGGUUUAAAGGGUGCGUAGGCGGUCCGGUAAGUUAGGGGUGAAAUCCCGUGGCUCAACUCCGGAAUUGCCGCUGAUACUGUUGGGCUAGAGAGUAGUGGCGGUAGGCGGAAUGUAUGGUGUAGCGGUGAAAUGCUUAGAGAUCAUACAGAACACCGAUUGCGAAGGCAGCUUGCCAAGCUACUUCUGACGUUGAGGCACGAAAGCGUGGGGAGCGAACAGGAUUAGAUACCCUGGUAGUC